GGACCUCUAUCCGGAAAAGA
rnacentral:rRNA from 2 species